GAUGAACGCUGGCGGCGUGCCUAAUACAUGCAAGUCGAGCGAACAGACGAGGAGCUUGCUCCUCUGACGUUAGCGGCGGACGGGUGAGUAACACGUGGAUAACCUACCUAUAAGACUGGGAUAACUUCGGGAAACCGGAGCUAAUACCGGAUAAUAUAUUGAACCGCAUGGUUCAAUAGUGAAAGACGGUUUUGCUGUCACUUAUAGAUGGAUCCGCGCCGCAUUAGCUAGUUGGUAAGGUAACGGCUUACCAAGGCAACGAUGCGUAGCCGACCUGAGAGGGUGAUCGGCCACACUAGAACUGAGACACGGUCCAGACUCCUACGGGAGGCAGCAGUAGGGAAUCUUCCGCAAUGGGCGAAAGCCUGACGGAGCAACGCCGCGUGAGUGAUGAAGGUCUUCGGAUCGUAAAACUCUGUUAUUAGGGAAGAACAAAUGUGUAAGUAACUAUGCACGUCUUGACGGUACCUAAGCAGAAAGCCACGGCUAACUACGU
rnacentral:rRNA from 1 species